rnacentral:rRNA from 1 species
CGACCGCGACCCCAGGUCAGACGGGAUUACCCGCUGAGUUUAAGCAUAUCAAUAAGCGGUGGAGAAGAA